rnacentral:rRNA from 1 species
GACGAACGCUGGCGGCGUGCUUAACACAUGCAAGUCGAACGGUGAAGCGCCUUCCUUUUUGGUGGGUGUGGAUGAGUGGCGAACGGGUGAGUAACACGUGAGUAACCUGCCCCCUUCUUCUGGAUAACCGCAUGAAAGUGUGGCUAAUACGGGAUAUUCUGGUUCUGUCGCAUGAUGGGUCUGGGAAAGAUAUUGUUUCGGUGGGGGAUGGGCUCGCGGCCUAUCAGCUUGUUGGUGGGGUGAUGGCCUACCAAGGCGGGGACGGGUAGCCGGCCUGAGAGGGUGACCGGCCACAGUGGGACUGAGAUACGGCCCAGACUGCUGAGGGAGGCAGCAGUGGGGAAGAGUGUGAAAGGGGCGGAAGCCUGAUGCAGCAACGCCGCGGGCGGGAUGACGGCCUUCGGGUUGUAAAACGGGUGCGCCUGUGACGAAGCGUGAGUGACGGUAAUGGGUAAAGAAGCACCGGCUAACUACGUG